GGAAAACAGUUGCCAGUUAGACAGUGAGCGCGUCGCAUCUACGCACGCAUCGAAAAGAUUCAGCGGCAGCAGCAGCAGCGCGUUCAGUGGUUGUUGUUGUUGGAAACGAUAUUUUACAGUUCUUGCCUGUUGCAGCCAAAGCGUUAGCAAACAUAGUGAUAAAGACAAAGUGUUCAAGACAAAAUGUAAUCAAUACCAUUAAAAAUUAUACAACAAGAAAUCAACUUAUUAAUCAACCGAUCAACUGGAAAACUGAGCAAUGUCAAGGCAAAGGUUCUCAACAGCAUGUCCCGUUUAAGAUGCGCACAAUUAGCUUAAAACGACAGCAGGACAUGGAG
rnacentral:sRNA from 1 species